rnacentral:lncRNA from 1 species
AAGCCAACCAAAUAUAGAACCAUAAGCACCAAGAAAACAUUGUUAUUGAAUCACAAGAAAUGUACAAGUAGAUGAUAAUUAAACUAAAGUAACAAGCAAACAUUGUAUGUAUGUAGGUAUGUAUGUAUGUAUGUAUGUAUGUAGACAUAUAAUUAAUAUAAUAAACUUAAUUAAUAUCUUGCAGCCAAUGCAAAGCUCUCCUGCGUCCAGUGUGGUGGAUCCAUGACAACACACGGAUCUGAUUUCUCAAAAUCAGCGACCUUUUGGUGGCAUUGAGG